rnacentral:rRNA from 1 species
GCUAAUACCGCAUAAGCGCACAGCUUCGCAUGAAGCAGUGUGAAAAACUCCGGUGGUAUACGAUGGAUCCGCGUCUGAUUAGCUGGUUGGCGGGGUAAAGGCCCACCAAGGCGACGAUCAGUAGCCGGCCUGAGAGGGUGAACGGCCACAUUGGGACUGAGACACGGCCCAAACUCCUACGGGAGGCAGCAGUGGGGAAUAUUGCACAAUGGGGGAAACCCUGAUGCAGCGACGCCGCGUGAGUGAAGAAGUAUUUCGGUAUGUAAAGCUCUAUCAGCAGGGAAGAAAAUGACGGUACCUGACUAAGAAGCCCCGGCUAACUACGUGCCAGCAGCCGCGGUAAUACGUAGGGGGCAAGCGUUAUCCGGAUUUACUGGGUGUAAAGGGAGCGUAGACGGCGCGGCAAGUCUGAAGUGAAAGGCAGGGGCUUAACCCCUGAACUGCUUUGGAAACUGCCAUGCUAGAGUGCUGGAGAGGUAAGUGGAAUUCCUAGUGUAACGGUGAAAUGCGUAGAUAUUAGGAGGAACACCAGUGGCGAAGGCGGCUUACUGGACAGUAACUGACGUUGAGGCUCGAAAGCGUGGGGAGCAAACAGGAUUAGAUACCCUGGUAGUCCACGCCGUAAACGAUGAUUACUAGGUGU